UACGGAGGGUGCAAACGUUGCUCGGAAUUAUUGGGCGUAAAGCGUACGUAGGCGGUCCAGCAAGUCGGGUGUGAAAGCCCUCGGCUUAACCGAGGAAGUGCAUUCGAAACUACAGGACUUGAAUACUGGAGAGGAUUGCGGAAUUCCCGGUGUAGAGGUGAAAUUCGUAGAUAUCGGGAGGAACACCAAUGGCGAAGGCAGCUCGCUGGGACGGUACUGACGCUGAGGCGCGAAAGCGUGGGGAGCAAACAGG
rnacentral:rRNA from 1 species